rnacentral:rRNA from 1 species
GAUGAACGCUGGCGGCGUGCCUAAUACAUGCAAGUCGAGCGAACAGAUAAGGAUCUUGCUCCUUUGACGUUAGCGGCGGACGGGUGAGUAACACGUGGAUAACCUACCUAUAAGACUGGGAUAACUUCGGGAAACCGGAGCUAAUACCGGAUAACAUAUUGAACCGCAUGGUUCAAUAGUGAAAGGCGGCUUUGCUGUCACUUAUAGAUGGAUCCGCGCCGUAUUAGCUAGUUGGUAAGGUAACGGCUUACCAAGGCAACGAUACGUAGCCGACCUGAGAGGGUGAUCGGCCACACUGGAACUGAGACACGGUCCAGACUCCUACGGGAGGCAGCAGUAGGGAAUCUUCCGCAAUGGGCGAAAGCCUGACGGAGCAACGCCGCGUGAGUGAUGAAGGUCUUCGGAUCGUAAAACUCUGUUAUCAGGGAAGAACAAAUGUGUAAGUAACUGUGCACAUCUUGACGGUACCUGAUCAGAAAGCCACGGCUAACUACGUG